CCCCUAGAUGUUCUGGGCCGCACGCGCGCUACACUGAACAGUUCAACAAGUCUUAACCUUGGCCGAUAGGUCUGGGUAAUCUUUGAACGCUGUUCGUGAUUGGGAUAGACCUUUGCAAUUAUGGGUCUUCAACGAGGAAUUCCUAGUAAACGCAAGUCAUCAGCUUGCAUUGAUUACGUCCCUGCCCUUUGUACACACCGCCCGUCGCACCUACCGAUUGAAUGGUCCGGUGAAAUCUCGGGACGGCGGCUUGGUCGCUUGCGUCCGACUGCCGAAACUUGAUUAAACCAUAUCAUUUAGAGGAAGGUGAAGUCGUAACA
rnacentral:rRNA from 1 species